UACGAAGGGGGCUAGCGUUGUUCGGAAUUACUGGGCGUAAAGGGCGCGUAGGCGGUGUGUCAAGUCAGGCGUGAAAGCCCCGGGCUCAACCUGGGAACCGCGCUUGAGACUGGCACGCUCGAGUUCGGGAGAGGAUGGUGGAAUUCCCAGUGUAGAGGUGAAAUUCGUAGAUAUUGGGAAGAACACCGAUGGCGAAGGCAGCCAUCUGGACCGACACUGACGCUGAGGCGCGAAAGCGUGGGGAGCAAACGGG
rnacentral:rRNA from 1 species